GCUUGUGAAGCUCAAUUGGUUGAGCAAAAUAUUGAAGCUAUUUUGGUUGUAAGUUCGAAUCUUAUCGCGAGCA
rnacentral:tRNA from 3 species